rnacentral:rRNA from 1 species
GACGUAGGGGGCCAGCGUUGUUCGGAAUUACUGGGUGUAAAGGGUUCGUAGGCGGUGCGGCAAGUCGGGAGUGAAAUCUCUGGGCUUAACCCAGAGGCUGCUUCCGAAACUGCUGUGCUUGAGUGUGGGAGAGGCGCGUGGAAUUGCAGGUGUAGCGGUGAAAUUCGUAGAUAUUCGCAAGAACACCAGUGGCGAAGGCGGCUCACUGGC